rnacentral:sRNA from 1 species
UAUUCUACCCUACGGGGAAGGAUGAGAAGCUUCGACUAAGGUUCGACUCGAGCGCCAGCGAGAGAAAGUUGCCGCAGGCAAUGGCCCGAAGGGCGAGGAGCGAUAGCGACGAGUUAUCCUUCCCCCUCUAUUC